AUCUCUUAACCAUUAACGGCAUUCUGAUGACGUCAUUUGCCCUUUGAACGCCUCUUACGCAUUCGAGUAGAGUAUCACUUGAUUUACGAAUAAGCUGGCGUUGGCUGACUCGGCGCCCCGGCGGCACCCAGCGGCGGCCUCGGCGAUAAUAAUUGGUUGAAGAUUUGCUUUUUUAAGGCAGCAAGAUUUAUAAACAUCGCCAAAUUUAUCAUAUGCAAUUGGAGCUUGUUUCAGUUUUUAUAGCAGGGUCAUGAAUAUGAUACAAUUUUCUUUCAAUGGUAGAUUCGUCAUGGUACAGUACAAUUUCAAUGGUUAUUUCGAGUAAUUUAUGUCAUUGAAUUGAAACUGCAAGUACAUCCCACAAAAGAGCUUAUCCUCUUCAAGUUUCAGUCUUGAUCCGACUGAUUUGUCAAGAGUGCGAAAAGUGAGGCGACAAAAGAGAGCUACAGGUUUUUCAAGAUUUAAGUGUUCUUGAAUAGCAGGUUAUACAACAUUGUGCUGUGACAUAACCACUGGGCCUUGUGCCCCCUGUGACAGAGCCCCUGCAUCAGCUGGUCUGACACGGCUGGGCUCGCAAGUCGCAAAGAACGUCUUGGUGCUCUUAAUUAUGAUUGAUGCUUGUGCUGUAAAAGAAGGGUACCUACAUGGCAAAAUACAUUUGUAUGCAAUUUCUUGCCACAGUACCCACCUACAUGUACAUUUUUGUUGUCUUUGUGUGAAAAAUGAAUAUAUUUUAAGGAAA